rnacentral:rRNA from 1 species
GAUCAUGGCUCAGGAUGAACGCUGGCGGCGUGCCUAACACAUGCAAGUCGAACGAAGCACUCUGAUCGGAGAUUACGUCAAAGAUCGGGAAUGACUUAGUGGCGGACGGGUGAGUAAUGCGUGAGCAACCUGCCUUUCAGAGGGGGACGAACAAGUUGGAAACGACUGCUAAUACCGCAUAAUGUACAGAGGGGGCAUCCCUUUUGUACCAAAGGAGCAAUCCGCUGAAAGAUGGGCUCACGUCUGAUUAGCUGGUUGGUGGGGUAACGGCCUACCAAGGCUGCGAUCAGUAGCCGGACUGAGAGGUUGAACGGCCACAUUGGGACUGAGAUACGGCCCAGACUCCUACGGGAGGCAGCAGUGGGGAAUAUUGGGCAAUGGGCGAAAGCCUCGACCCAGCAACGCCGCGUGAAGGAAGAAGGUCUUCGGAUUGUAAACUUCUUUUAUGAGGGACGAAGGACGUGACGGUACCUCAUGAAUAAGCCACGGCUAACUACGUGCCAGCAGCUGC